GCCACAGUGUGGUAUAAUGGUUUGAAUCCUGGACCAGGAUUCCAGAAGACCAGCGUUCAAAUCCCUGUUUGGCC